GGAUGUGAGGGCGAUCCGGCUGCGACAUCUGUCACCCCAUUGAUCGCCAGGGUUGAUUUGGCUGAUCUGGCUGGCUUGACGGGUGUCCCGUUCCUCCCUCACCGCUCCAUGUGCAACCCUCUCAAAGCUGCGGAGAGGACAGCCUUCCCCGAAGAGAGAAGGACGGGUCUUCGGUCGAGGGUAGCUGCGCUCCCCUGCUAGAACCUCCAAACAAGCUUUUAAGAGGCUAGGGAAGAGCAGGACAUGCACAAGGUCCUGAGCUUUAU
rnacentral:snRNA from 1 species